GGUAAAAUGACUGAGAUUUAGGUGAUAGAUUGUAAAUCUAUAAACGGGGGAUGCCUCCUUUUACU
rnacentral:tRNA from 1 species